CCUACGGGAGGCAGCAGUGAGGAAUAUUGGUCAAUGGACGAGAGUCUGAACCAGCCAAGUAGCGUGAAGGAUGACUGCCCUAUGGGUUGUAAACUUCUUUUAUAUGGGAAUAAAAUGUUCCACGUGUGGGAUUUUGUAUGUACCAUAUGAAUAAGGAUCGGCUAAAUCCGUGCCAGCAGCCGCGGUAAUACGGAGGAUCCGAGCGUUAUCCGGGUUUAUUGGGGUUAAAGGGAGCGUAGGUGGAUUGUUAAGUCAGUUGUGAAAGUUUGGGGCUCAACCGUAACAUUGCAGUUGAAACUGGCAGUCUUGAGUGCGGUAGAGGUGGGCGGAAUGCGUGGUGUAGCGGUGAAAUGCUUAGAUAUCACGAAGAACUCCGAUUGCGAAGGCAGCGCACUGGACUGCAACUGACACUGAGGCUCGAAAGUGUGGGUAUCAAACAGGAUUAGAUACCCCAGUAGUC
rnacentral:rRNA from 1 species